rnacentral:rRNA from 1 species
UCUAUACCGCAUAAAACGCUUCGGACCAAAGUGGGGGACCUUCGGGCCUCACGCCAUCAGAUGUGCCCAGAUGGGAUUAGCUAGUAGGUGGGGUAAUGGCUCACCUAGGCGACGAUCCCUAGCUGGUCUGAGAGGAUGACCAGCCACACUGGAACUGAGACACGGUCCAGACUCCUACGGGAGGCAGCAGUGGGGAAUAUUGCACAAUGGGCGCAAGCCUGAUGCAGCCAUGCCGCGUGUGUGAAGAAGGCCUUCGGGUUGUAAAGCACUUUCAGCGAGGAGGAAGGCUAGCGUGUUAAU